UCCGGAAUCAUUGGGCGUAAAGCGCGCGUAGGCGGCCCUGUAAGUCCGUUGUGAAAGUCGAAGGCUCAACCUUCGAAAGCCGAUGGAUACUGCAGGGCUAGAGUCCGGAAGAGGCGAGUGGAAUUCCUGGUGUAGCGGUGGAAUGCGCAGAUAUCAGGAGGAACACCAAUAGCGAAGGCAGCUCGCUGGGACGGUACUGACGCUAAGGCGCGAAAGCGUGGGGAGCGAACAGG
rnacentral:rRNA from 1 species